CUCUGGCAGCAAGCAGCAGGGCCCUCCGGGCCCAGGAGCUUGUACAGGCUCUGAUUAAACAAACCUGCCUUCUCCCCUUCUCCAGCCCAAACUGUUUCAUCCAAGCCAAUCCCAGACCAUACACCACCAAGGACAAACAGCAACAACCCAGCACAGAGCUACACAGGGCCUGGAAAUUUGACACUACCCAACAUGGCAACAAACUGUCUUCUUCAUGUUCAAAAAUUCCCAUUCCCAUAGCACCCUUUUCUUACCUGAAAAAAAGAAAAGGCCAGGUGGUAUGCUAAUGAGUGUGAAUGUGCAAGGUAUGUCAGUGCCCUGAGAAGCACGUUUAAGGUGCAUCUUAAAUGGCACCUUAACCCCUAGGAAUCAGUCUCCUGUGGACGCUGGCCCCACCAUGACGGGCAGGAUGGGGAGACACUCUGGGGCAAAGGAGACGCCUACCUAGCACCCCACCCCAACAACUCACGCUCAUCGAGGGCAGUCUUCUCUCUAAUGACAACCUUGCCUGGUCCCCUCUACUCGCCCUCCCAUCCUCCAGAGAAUGGGGAAGCUGGCACCAGCCAGAAAGAAGCAAUGGGAAAUGGCGGUUUGAGAGGGAGAGACCAUAUGCUCACCUGAUGGGAUUCAUGUCAGGCCGACUGGGCUUGGAAACAGCUUUCACAAAUUUCUCAGCAAGCUGAAUUCUAAAGCACAAAACAGAGUCUCUCAGAGGCGAGCCAAGGUGCCUCCACGAGUACCCCUGCCUCCAGGGCAUUUCCAUGGCACCAGUGAGGGAACACUUCUGAACGUGGAGCCAAGCUGCUCCAAGAGGCAUCAGUCCUAUCCCCGAGGAAGCCCACACUGCCCUUCUCCACUAGUGUCAUGACGCAUGCCCACCUCUGUGCGUGUGGACAUCCAGUUUUGCUACAUGUUGGUAGGCUUUUCUGGUGUGCCUUGAGUUGUGCUCAGUCCCCUGCACUAGAACUUCUAAUAUCAUCUGUAUCGCAUAUGGCUACUCACCUCAAACCACUGAUGCCACCACACACCCACUCAGAAGAACCACCUUAGGAGGCAUAUCAGCACCAUGGCAAUGUGAGAGGUCCCUCCUUUUUGUCCCCCACCCCACUUCUAACAAGUGAUCGGGCGUCCAUCCACAAGCAAAAGGGCUGCUGUGGGAUCCAGAUAAACAGAUUUAAAUGGGACCACCCAUGCUCAAGACAUGUUCUUCAAGAGAUCUUCCCUCUCUCCUAAGGCUAUCCUCUUGCUCAACCUGAACACAAACAUCACUUCUGAUCUGAACAGCUGUGGCAAAAUGGAGUGUGCUGGUAUCUGUGGCAACGGAGGCCCACGCCCCAGCAAACUCUGCAGUGCAGACACCGAUUCCUCACCCGGCCCCUCGAACAAGCCCACGGUGGGAAAGGAAAACUAAUGAUCGCCAAGGAAGGCCUGGGUGAGGGACCAAGCCUCAGAGACUGCUGCCGCACACUGGCCUGGCCUACCCUGCCCUCCCUCCCCAGGACCCAAGUCAAACCGCUGGUUAAAGUGCUGCUCCCGCACGUCACUGCCAUUCAGCACGAGGACAUCGAGGAUGUGGAUGGCACUAAUCUUCCGCUGGGCCUUCCCCUAGAAGAAGAAGUGUGCUGCCUACCCUGCCAAGCAUCGGCCUGGGGCCCACUCUGCCCACGGUGGCAUGCUGACCUCCGCUCUACCUAUAUAUAGCCAGGGAAAGGAAGGACUCCAAACACAGAACUUUCUCAUGCCUCCCUCCCAGAUCAUUGUCAGCACCGCACUGGCCCAGACUUCUGAGCAGCCACAGAUCUGAGGCUUUAGGUGAUGAGCCCCCUUGAACCUCAAACUCAGUGAAGCUGCUGCAAUGGUGCUCUAGCCAGGGCCUAGCUUCCCAAUCUUGUCAACUGUUCCCCCUGACCAUUCUGAAAGUCAUCUGCUUGGCUAUCAUGGCCAAAGCUCAAGGGAUUCCUGGUAAAACCAAAAUCAGCAGCUAAAAAAUACCCAGCAGGCCCACUAGGGCCCAGGAUGCCCAAAGAUGACUGAGGUCCCCUCUUA